rnacentral:rRNA from 1 species
UACGUAGGGUGCAAGCGUUAAUCGGAAUUACUGGGCGUAAAGCGCACGUAGGCGGCUUUGUAAGUUAGAGGUGAAAGCCCGGGGCUCAACUCCGGAACUGCCUUUAAGACUGCAUCGCUUGAAUUGUGGAGAGGUGAGUGGAAUUCCCAGUGUAGAGGUGAAAUUCGUAGAUAUUGGGAAGAACACCGGUGGCGAAGGCGGCUCACUGGCUCGUUUCUGACGCUCAGGCGCGACAGCGUGGGGAUCAAACAGG